AGAGUUUGAUCCUGGCUCAGGACGAACGCUGGCGGCGUGCUUAACACAUGCAAGUCAGGGGGCCCGCAAGGGUCACCGGCGAACGGGUGCGUAACACGUGAACAACCUGCCCGAGCGAGGGGGAUAGCCGGCCCAACGGCCGGGUAAUACCGCAUAUGCUCACAGCGUCUUAUGGCGCAGUGAGGAAACCUUCGGGGCGCUCGGAGGGGUUCGCGACCUAUCAGCUAGUUGGUGAGGUAACGGCCCACCAAGGCGACGACGGGUAGCUGGUCUGAGAGGAUGGCCAGCCACAUUGGGACUGCGACACGGCCCAGACUCCUACGGGAGGCAGCAGUGGGGAAUAUUGCGCAAUGGUCGAAAGACUGACGCAGCGACGCCGCGUGGAGGAUGACGCCCUUCGGGGUGUAAACUCCUGUUGCUCGGGACGAACCGUGGAAUUCAUUCCACCUGACGGUACCGAGUGAGGAAGCACCGGCUAACUCUGUGCCAGCAGCCGCGGUAAUACAGAGGGUGCGAGCGUUGUCCGGAAUCACUGGGCGUAAAGGGCGCGUAGGCGGUUUGACAAGCGUGCGGUGAAAGCUCGGGGCUCAACCCCGAGUCGGCCGUGCGAACUGUCGGACUUGAGCACAGUAGAGGCAGAUGGAAUUCCGGGUGUAGCGGUGGAAUGCGUAGAGAUCCGGAAGAACACCGGUGGCGAAGGCGGUCUGCUGGGCUGUGGCUGACGCUGAUGCGCGACAGCGUGGGGAGCAAACAGGAUUAGAUACCCUGGUAGUCCACGCCGUAAACGAUGGGCACUAG
rnacentral:rRNA from 1 species